rnacentral:rRNA from 1 species
UGGCGGACGGGUGAGUAACGCGUAAAGAACUUGCCCUUUAGACUGGGAUAACAGAGGGAAACUUCUGAUAAUACUGGAUAAGUUAGUAUAUCGCAUGAUAUACAAAUGAAAGCUACGGCACUAAAGGAGAGCUUUGCGUCCUAUUAGCUAGUUGGUAAGGUAAGAGCUUACCAAGGCGAUGAUAGGUAGCCGGCCUGAGAGGGUGGACGGCCACAAGGGGACUGAGAUNGGCCCUUACUCCUACGGGAGGCAGCAGUC